rnacentral:rRNA from 1 species
UCCGUAGGUGGCAAGCGUUGUCCGGAAUUAUUGGGCGUAAAGCGCGCGCAGGCGGCCUUUUAAGUCUGAUGUGAAAGCCCCCGGCUCAACCGGGGAGGGUCAUUGGAAACUGGAAGGCUUGAGUGCAGAAGAGAAGAGCGGAAUUCCACGUGUAGCGGUGAAAUGCGUAGAGAUGUGGAGGAACACCAGUGGCGAAGGCGGCUCUUUGGUCUGUAACUGACGCUGAGGCGCGAAAGCGUGGGGAGAGAACAGG